AGGUGGUGGAUGCCAGGUUGGUGUCUGUGUUUGAUGCCAGGGAACUGGAGCUGGUAAUUGCAGGAACUGCAGAAAUUGACUUAACAGACUGGAGGAACAACACUGAGUACAGAGGAGGUUACCAUGAUAACCACAUUGUGAUCCGGUGGUUCUGGGCAGCGGUGGAGAGAUUCAACAAUGAGCAGAGAUUGCGUCUCCUACAGUUUGUGACUGGGACGUCCAGUAUUCCAUAUGAGGGCUUUGCUUCUCUGCGAGGCAGCAAUGGACCCCGCAGGUUCUGUGUGGAGAAGUGGGGUAAAGUCACCUCCCUACCCAGAGCUCACACCUGCUUCAACCGGCUGGACCUCCCACCGUACCCAUCUUUCUCAGUGCUGUAUGAGAAGCUGCUGACUGCUGUGGAAGAGACCAGCACCUUUGGACUGGAAUGAGAUUCUCGUCUCCCGUAUCCCAGUUUUCCCUGCGUCUGACCCUGGAACACUGCUGCUGAUAGUGACGUUUAACAGUCAGAUUUUGAAGCCCAACUCCUGAUUUAAAUUUAUAACAGGAUGUUUUGUUACAGGACCUUUUGAAAUGUUUUGUGUACAAAGGUGAACCGUUUUUGUUGCACCUGCAUGUAUUUCACACCUACUUAAUAACUUGCUUUCACCGAUGUGACAUGACAAAUGAAGACCUGCGCUCGCUUUAGGACUCUGACUGGAACUGCCAAGAUC